AAAAGGGCAACCUGAACAGACACAUGAUAAUUCAUACAGGUGUGUGGGUUGGAGUUCCUACUGGACAUUUGCCUCAAAUGUCCUCGGUCCCACUGUGAAGAGGGUUUGCGGGGAGAGAUCUCUGUAUGAGGACGUUUCAAUGAAAAUGAACCCUAGCUAAAAACUCCACAAAGCAAAUAUGGAAAAGUCGAAAAAUGGCAGCUUGUACUGGCCGGAUGUCUCCCAGGAUAAAAAGGUCCCAAAAUCACGCCUAGGCACCAGGGUGUGUGAGGAAAGUAAUGGUGCAACUUCUCCCAGUGCUGCAGGGAAUGAUCUCUCCUGCGAGAGCACUCAGCUGGAUAACCCAUCAGAUCAGCACAGUUCUGAUCCUGGACUCCAGCAGCAACAGCCUCAAAGGGCCAAAAGAAAUCUACGAAACUACGUCACUGUCAAUUGGACC